ACCCGCUGAACUUAAGCAUAUCAAUAAGCGGAGGAAAAGAAACCAACAGGGAUUGCCUUAGUAACGGCGAGUGAAGCGGCAAAAGCUCAGAUUUGAAAUCUAGCGUCUUAUAGGCGUUCGAGUUGUAAUCUGUAGAGAAGUUAUCGAGUGUGGAUUUGGCUUAAGUUCUUUGGAACAGGACGUCAUAGAGGGUGAGAACCCCGUACACGGCCUUUGUCUUAUACUCAUGUGAGGCUUCUUCAACGAGUCGAGUUGUUUGGGAAUGCAGCUCUAAAUGGGUGGUAAAUUCCAUCUAAAGCUAAAUACUGGCAAGAGACCGAUAGCGCACAAGUAGAGUGAUCGAAAGAUGAAAAGAACUCUGAACAGAGAGUUAAAUAGUACGUGAAAUUGUUGAAAGGGAAGCACUUGCUACCAGACUCGCUUGCAGUUAAUCAACUAUCCUUCUGGGUGGUGCACUUUUCUGUAGGCGGGCCAGCAUCAGUUGUGUUGGUGGGAUAAAGGCAGUUGGAAUGUGGCUCUCUUCGGAGAGUGUUAUAGACUUCUGUGUAAUACCAUCUAACGCGACUGAGGUCAGCGCUUCGGCGAGGAUGCUGGCAUAAUGGUCGU
rnacentral:rRNA from 1 species